rnacentral:rRNA from 1 species
CAGUCGAACGAGGGUCCUUCGGGACUCGAGUGGCGAACGGGUGAGUAACACGUAGGGAACCUGCCCGUGCGACCGGGAGAACUUUCGGAAACGGAAGCUGAUACCGGAUAGGGACAGAGACGGCAUCGACUCUGUGUUAAAGGAGCUGCAAGGCUCCGCGCACGGAUGGACCUGCGGUGCAUUAGCUAGUUGGUGAGGUAACGGCCCACCAAGGCGACGAUGCAUAGCCGGCCUGAGAGGGCGGACGGCCACACUGGGACUGAGACACGGCCCAGACUCCUACGGGAGGCAGCAGUAGGGAAUUUUCGUCAAUGGGCGCAAGCCUGAACGAGCAAUGCCGCGUGAACGAGGAAGGUCUUCGGAUCGUAAAGUUCUGUUGAAGGGGAAAAAGAGCGGAGAGAGGAAAUGAACUCCGAUUGAUAUUACCCUUCGAGGAAGUCACGGCUAACUACGUGCCAGCAGCCGCGGUAAUACGUAGGUGGCGAGCGUUAUCCGGAAUGAUUGGGCGUAAAGGGUGCGUAGGCGGCCUGCUAAGUCUGGAGUGAAAGUACCGGCUCAACCGGUAUAGGCUCUGGAAACUGGCGGGCUAGAGAGCAGGAGAGGGCGGUGGAACUCCAUGUGUAGCGGUAAAAUGCGUAGAUAUAUGGAAGAACACCAGUGGCGAAGGCGGCCGCCUGGCCUGUUACUGACGCUGAGGCACGAGAGCGUGGGGAGCAAAUAGGAUUAGAUACCCUAGUAGUCCACGCCGUAAACGAUGAGGACCAAGUGUUGGGGAAGACCCAGUGCUGCAGUUAACGCAGUGAGUCCUCCGCCUGGGGAGUAUGCACG